UACGUAGGGGGCAAGCGUUGUCCGGAAUUAUUGGGCGUAAAGAGCGUGUAGGCGGCCAGAUAAGUCCGCUGUGAAAUCUCGAGGCUCAACUUCGAGCUGUCGGUGGAAACUAUCUGGCUAGAGUCCGGAAGAGGAGAAUGGAAUUCCUGGUGUAGCGGUGAAAUGCGCAGAUAUCGGGAGGAACACCGGUGGCGAAGGCGGCGACCUGGGUAGAUACUGACGCUGAGGCGCGAAAGCGUGGGGAGCAAACGGG
rnacentral:rRNA from 1 species